GUUUCUGUGGUGUAGUGGUUAUCACAUUUGCCCAGCAUGCAAAAGAUCUCUGAUUCAAAACCAGGCAGAAACA